rnacentral:rRNA from 1 species
ACGCUCGACACCUACGGGAGCAGCAGUGAGAAUNUGNANGGACGCAAGUCUGAACCAGCCAUGCCGCGUGCAGGAUGACGGACUCUUAUGAGUUGUAAAACUGCUUUUAGUACGAGGGUAAACGCAGAUACGUGUAUCUGUCUAGAAAGUNUCGUAACGAAAUAAGGAUCGGCUAACCUCCGUGCCACGNGCCGGCGUAAGUACUGAGCGGGCCGUGGCAAGGC